rnacentral:rRNA from 1 species
CAGGCUUAACACAUGCAAGUCGAGGGGCAGCAUGGUCUUAGCUUGCUAAGGCCGAUGGCGACCGGCGCACGGGUGAGUAACACGUAUCCAACCUGCCGUCUACUCUUGGACAGCCUUCUGAAAGGAAGAUUAAUACAAGAUGGCAUCAUGAGUCCGCAUGUUCACAUGAUUAAAGGUAUUCCGGUAGACGAUGGGGAUGCGUUCCAUUAGAUAGUAGGCGGGGUAACGGCCCACCUAGUCUUCGAUGGAUAGGGGUUCUGAGAGGAAGGUCCCCCACAUUGGAACUGAGACACGGUCCAAACUCCUACGGGAGGCAGCAGUGAGGAAUAUUGGUCAAUGGGCGAGAGCCUGAACCAGCCAAGUAGCGUGAAGGAUGACUGCCCUAUGGGUUGUAAACUUCUUUUAUAAAGGAAUAAAGUCGGGUAUGGAUACCCGUUUGCAUGUACUUUAUGAAUAAGGAUCGGCUAACUCCGUGCCAGCAGCCGCGGUAAUACGGAGGAUCCGAGCGUUAUCCGGAUUUAUUGGGUUUAAAGGGAGCGUAGAUGGAUGUUUAAGUCAGUUGUGAAAGUUUGCGACUCAACCGUAAAAUUGCAGUUGAUACUGGAUAUCUUGAGUGCAGUUGAGGCAGGCGGAAUUCGUGGUGUAGCGGUGAAAUGCUUAGAUAUCACGAAGAACUCCGAUUGCGAAGGCAGCCUGCUAAGCUGCAACUGACAUUGAGGCUCGAAAGUGUGGGUAUCAAACAGGAUUAGAUACCCUGGUAGUCCACACGGUAAACGAUGAAUACUCGCUGUUUGCGAUAUACUGCAAGCGGCCAAGCGAAAGCGUUAAGUAUUCCACCUGGGGAGUACGCCGGCAACGGUGAAACUCAAAGGAAUUGACGGGGGCCCGCACAAGCGGAGGAACAUGUGGUUUAAUUCGAUGAUACGCGAGGAACCUUACCCGGGCUUAAAUUGCAGAUGAAUUACGGUGAAAGCCGUAAGCCGCAAGGCAUCUGUGAAGGUGCUGCAUGGUUGUCGUCAGCUCGUGCCGUGAGGUGUCGGCUUAAGUGCCAUAACGAGCGCAACCCUUGUUGUCAGUUACUAACAGGUUCCGCUGAGGACUCUGACAAGACUGCCAUCGUAAGAUGUGAGGAAGGUGGGGAUGACGUCAAAUCAGCACGGCCCUUACGUCCGGGGCUACACACGUGUUACAAUGGGGGGUACAGAGGGCCGCUACCACGCGAGUGGAUGCCAAUCCCAAAAACCUCUCUCAGUUCGGACUGGAGUCUGCAACCCGACUCCACGAAGCUGGAUUCGCUAGUAAUCGCGCAUCAGCCACGGCGCGGUGAAUACGUUCCCGGGCCUUGUACACACCGCCCGUCAAGCCAUGGGAGCCGGGGGUACCUGAAGUGCGUAACCGCGAGGAGCGCCCUAGGGUAAAACUGGUGACUGGGGCUAAGU